rnacentral:rRNA from 1 species
UGGGGAAUAUUGGGCAAUGGGGGAAACCCUGACCCAGCAACGCCGCGUGAGGGAAGAAGGUUUUCGGAUUGUAAACCUCUGUUCUUGGCGAAGAGAAGAAGACGGUAACCAAGGAGGAAGCCCCGGCUAACUACGUGCCAGCAGCCGCGGUAAUACGUAGGGGGCGAGCGUUGUCCGGAAUGAUUGGGCGUAAAGGGUGCGUAGGCGGCGAUGCAAGUCAGAAGUGGAAGUCCUGCUUUCAAGGUAGGAAUUGCUUUUGAAACUGCAUGGCUUGAGUGCAGGAGAGGUUAUCGGAAUUCCCGGUGUAGCGGUGAAAUGCGUAGAGAUCGGGAGGAACACCAGUGGCGAAGGCGGGUAACUGGACUGCAACUGACGCUGAGGCACGAAAGUGUGGGGAGCAAACA